rnacentral:lncRNA from 1 species
GUAAGGUCAGAGGCUUGACUCCUCCUCGCCCUAGUCUGCUCCAAUCACCCUGGCUUCCUCGCAGCUCUAGAACACUCCUGGCAGGGAAGACCCCCAGGGACUGUGUGCACCUGCUGUUCCCUCCACGGGGACCCCUCACCCCCGCACCACGGCCUGGGGUCUAGCAUCUCCCUGAAAGGUUGCCUUCUCUCUGAGCCAUCCCUGACCGCCAUCCCACGCUCCUUCAGCCCCUUUGUUGCUAUGCUCAUCUGCUCAUCUCCGUCAUGUACCACAUCUAACAUCCGGCCACUAUUCCAUAGCUGCGUAUUCAUUGUCUCUUUCAUCCCCUUGGAAUGGAAGCAGCAUAAGGGCGGGGGUAUUGCCUGUUUGGGUCAUGGCUGCGCCUCCCUGGCCUGGCACAGACCAGGAACCCAGCAAAUGCCCAGUCCUCCAGCCUAGGGUUUCCUUUCUUCCCGACCUUCACCCUGAGGGGUGCACACGCCACCACAACGCCUUCUUGACCACCUGUCUCUGCCGAGGCUGCCCCUCCACCCUCUGAUGAAAGAAGGGGACCAGGAAACUCAGCCUCCAGGUAUUCUGGGUGCGCCCCAGCCCGCAAAGCCUGAUCUGAAACAGGCACCCUGUUUCAACUUCCCGUUUCUUCAGCCCAGAAAUGGGUUUCCUUCCCCAUCACGCAUGCAUUUGGCGGUUGUUUCAGCCCAAGCUCCAGAUGGAGGAUACCCCACCCUUGCAGGACUGGGAGAACUCCUUCCAUCCCGUGGAAGAAUGACAGAUGCCAAACCCUGGAGUUUGCUACAAAGACCUUGGUGUCUUCCUUGCCUGUUUUGACACCAUUUUUUUUUUUUUUUUUUUUUUUUUUACUACCAGAAUUGAAUUAUUCCUCUCAGGAAAUAUUUAAGUCUAAUACUGUCUGGCUUCUGUGUUUUCGCCAGGCAUGAAGGGUAGGAAGAGCGUUCACUAUGGGCUUUCAGUGGGGGAUGGGAAGGAGAAUGGGGGUGGGGGGAGAGAAAUCAUUCAGAUUCAUCAAGGUUCCCCUGGGCCUGGCUGGCUUCAAAACCUUUUUACUGGCUCCAGAGCAGUCGUUGACAACAUUUACGCCACCCACGGUUAUACAUACAUUAGUUUUAUUUCAUGUUCGCCUUCUGACUAAGGCAUAAAAAAGUUCAAAUGACUUAUCCAGAAUCAUAUAGUGUCAAAGGACAGAACUGAAAAGCAAAUUAUAGCCUCAUGGAAAGGAAUAGAAAGAGAGGUCAGUAUAAACGACUCAUUUGCGAGAAGGAGCUUUUAAAAUGACAAGGAUCUCUCUCUCUCUCUCUCUCUGACUCUUUACACAUAAAAUGACAGGCAUCCAACUUAGAAAAAAAAGGUAGGUAAUCCAGAUUAUUUUUCAAAAAAUUAAAACUAGCUACUCUUUAGCUACUCUGUAACCCUUCUACAAUGCACAUCCUCGUCCCCCUCCUAAAAUAUAUUAACUAUUCUUGAUGAUUCAAGAUAAAUGUCCUGGAGUUCCAUUGUAGCCCAGCAGUGACGAACUCAAUUAGUAUCCAUGAGGACGCGGGUUCGAUCCCUGGCCUCGAUCAGUGGGUUAAGGAUCUGGUGUUGCCGUGAGCUGUGACGUAGGUCACAGAUGUGGCUCAGAUACCGUGUUGCUGUGGCUGUGGUGUAGGCCGGCAGCUACAGCUCUGAUUGGACCCCUUAAUAGGCAAAAAAAAAAAGAUAGGUCAGUUAUUGAAUUGGAUUGUUAAUGGAUGGAUGCUUUCAGAGGAUACUGAUGAGAACAAGGCUAUUGGUCUCUAUACUAAAUAUCCUCAAAGUGAUGUGUACCACUGGUUCAGUACACUCCGUGAGGGCAUGAAUUUUUUUUUUUUUCCUUUUUUUUUUUUUUGCUUUUUCUUUGGGCCGCUCCCAGGGCAUAUGGAGGUUCCCAGGCUAGGGGUCGAAUCGGAGCUGUAGAUGCCGGCCUACGCCAGAGCCAUAGCAACGCAGGAUCCAAGCUGCGUCUGCAACCUACACCACAGCUCACGGCAACGCCGGAUCGUUAACCCACUGAGCAAGGGCAGGGACCGAACCCGCAACCUCAUGGUUCCUAGUCGGAUUCGUUAACCACUGCGCCACGACGGGAACUCCGAGGACAUGAAUUUUUAUCUCUUUUGCUCAAAAAUGUAGUUCAAGCACCUAGACCAGUACCUGGCACAUGGUAGUUGCUUAAUAAACAUGUGUUUAAAGAUCA